rnacentral:rRNA from 1 species
GUUGGUGGAGUGAUUUGUCUGCUUAAUUGCGAUAACGAACGAGAUCUCUGCCAAUAAAUAGAUGCUGCUUCCACUUUGUAGGCCAGUGGGUGGCUUUGGCUUGCCUUGGUCCACUAACGCUGCGCUGAGGAGGCAGAAAUUUACUUAUUGGGAUUAUGCAUCUUUUAAAUGCAUUGAGACGAGAGCCAAUAGCAGG